rnacentral:rRNA from 1 species
AGUUUGACCUCGGAUCAGGUAGGGAUACCCGCUGAUCUUAAGCAUAUCAAUAAGCGGAGGAAAAGAAACCAACAGGGAUUGCCUCAGUAACGGCGAGUGAAGCGGCAACAGCUCAAAUUUGAAAUCUGGCUCCAUUGGGCGCCCGANUUGUAAUUUGCAGAGGGUGCUUUGGCGUUGGCCACGGCCUAAGUUCCUUGGAACAGGGCGUCGCACAGGGUGAGAACCCCGAUACGUGGCCGCUGGCCUUCGCCGUGUAAAGCCCCUUCGACGAGUCUAGUUGUUUGGGAAUGCAGCUCUAAAUGGGAGGUAAAUUCCUUCUAAAGCUAAAUACUGGCCAGAGACCGAUAGCGCACAAGUACAGUGAUCGAAAGAUGAAAAGCACUUUGGAAAGAGAGUCAAAAAGCACGUGAAAUUGUUGAAAGGGAANCGCUUGCANCCAGACUCGCUCGCGGUCGUUCUUCUUCCGCGAGCGGGCCANCAUCAAUCUGGACGGUCNGAUAAAGGCCUUGGGAAUGUAGCUCUCUUCGGGGAGUGUUAUAGCCCAGGGCGUCAUGCGGCCAGUUCGGACUGAGGUCCGCGCAUCUGCUAGGAUGCUGGCGUAAUGGCUGUAAGCGGCCCGUCUUGAAACACGGACCAAGGAGUCUAACAUCUAUGCGAGUGUUUGGGUGUCAAGCCCGAGCGCGUAAUGAAAGUAAACGGAGGUGGGAACCCUUUGGGUGCACCAUCUACCGAUCUUGAUGUCUUCGGAUGGAUUUGAGUAAGAGCAUAGCUGUUGGGACCCGAAAGAUGGUGAACUAUGCCUGA